AACGAACGCUGGCGGCAUGCCUAACACAUGCAAGUCGAACGGAUGGCUUCGGCCAUGAGUGGCGCACGGGUGAGUAACGCGUGGGAACCUGCCUUUGGGUACGGAAUAACGCCGGGAAACUGGUGCUAAUACCGUAUACGUCCUUCGGGAGAAAGAUUUAUCGCCCAAAGAGGGGCCCGCGUCCGAUUAGGUAGUUGGUGGGGUAACGGCCUACCAAGCCAUCGAUCGGUAGCUGGUCUGAGAGGAUGAUCAGCCACACUGGGACUGAGACACGGCCCAGACUCCUACGGGAGGCAGCAGUGGGGAAUAUUGGACAAUGGGGGCAACCCUGAUCCAGCAAUGCCGCGUGAGUGAUGAAGGCCUUAGGGUUGUAAAGCUCUUUCGGCGGGGACGAUGAUGACGGUACCCGCAGAAGAAGCCCCGGCUAACUUCGUGCCAGCAGCCGCCGUAA
rnacentral:rRNA from 1 species